rnacentral:rRNA from 1 species
GUCGACGAUGAAGCCCAGCUUGCUGGGCGGAUUAGUGGCGAACGGGUGAGUAACACGUGAGUAACCUGCCCUUGACUCUGGGAUAAGCCCGGGAAACUGGGUCUAAUACCCGGAUAGGAGCGCCUGUCGCAUGACGGGUGCUGGAAAGAUCUUUCGGUCAUGGAUGGACUCGCGGCCUAUCAGCUUGUUGGUGAGGUAACGGCUCACCAAGGCGACGACGGGUAGCCGGCCUGAGAGGGUGACCGGCCACACUGGGACUGAGACACGGCCCAGACUCCUACGGGAGGCAGCAGUGGGGAAUAUUGCACAAUGGGCGAAAGCCUGAUGCAGCGACGCCCCGUGAGGGAUGACGGCCUUGGGGUUGUAACCUCUUUCAGCAGGGAAGAAGCGAAUGUGACGGUACCUGCAGAAGAAGCACCGGCUAACUACGUGCCAGCAGCCGCGGUAAUACGUGGGGUGGGAGCGUUAUCCGGAAUUAUUGGGCGUAAAGAGCUCGUAGGCGGUGUGUCACGGUCUGGCGUGAAAGGGCGGGAGAGGCGUUAACCCCGGAUUCGCGGUGGUUUUCGGGCCUGACUAG